GUUUGCCAGAAAUUCAGGUAAGCAGAUUUGCAUUGAUUCAUCCCUUACAAAUG
rnacentral:ncRNA from 1 species